rnacentral:rRNA from 1 species
GACGAACGCUGGCGGCGUGCCUAACACAUGCAAGUCGAGCGGAGAUUAUAGCAAUAUAAUCUUAGCGGCGGACGGGUGAGUAACGCGUGGGUAACCUGCCUUAUACAGGGGGAUAACACUGGGAAACUAGUGCUAAUACCGCAUAAUACAAUUGUAUGGCAUCAUAUAAUUGUCAAAGGAGUAAUCCAGUAUAAGAUGGACCCG